rnacentral:rRNA from 1 species
UACGUAGGAGGCAAGCGUUGUCCGGAAUUACUGGGCGUAAAGCGCGUGUAGGUGGUGGGACAAGUCUGCUGUGAAAGCGCCUGGCUUAACCGGGCGAGGUCGGCGGAAACUGUCCGACUAGAGGACGGUAGAGGGGGGUGGAAUUCCCGGUGUAGUGGUGAAAUGCGUAGAGAUCGGGAGGAACACCAGUGGCGAAGGCGGCUACCUGGACCAGCACUGGCACUGAGGCACGAAAGCGUGGGGAGCAAACAGG